GGGCGUAUCUCUCCGCGUGGCCGACGCGGGCGUGCGUAGUACCCUUCGCCGCCCGUCGCCCUUGCGGCCACUGCUACGCUUCUCUUCUCUGCCUUUUUUGGAGAAAACGCUGUCGCGUGCGUCGUCCAGAGGCUCUCCCCCAGGAGGCAGGCGAAAGAGCGGGGCCCUCCUGGGCUGGAGGAGUCUCGGGUGAUGAAAGGCCCGCGUGUUUCAGGCUGACGUCGUGAGAUGCGUCGUCCCCGCGUCGCGACAUCCCUGGGACCGGGAGGCCCCGUUCAAUUGGCAGCUUUUUCUCCUUCCAGGGAACCGAUGACCCUAGGUUGGCUGACAUCAGUCGCUAGACCCGCAGCCCGCAGGCCCCGUUAGUCCCUGAACUGGCUUUCAUGGCCCAAGGUGUCUGUCAGUACUGCUGGGAAAGCUGCCUGUCCUGGACAUUUGCCAUCUGCUGCACCCAGUCCCGAGACCCCAACUCGGUCAUCCGAAGAAGCCACAUCUCUGGACAGCCCAGGAUCACCAGACACCUGAGAAAGAAGAAAAGGGACUCAGAAGAAACAGAGACGAUAAAGGAAGCCGAAGAAAAAUGAAAACUAAAAUGCCAUUCUCAGUCAAUAAAAAGGAACUGGGGGCUAUAGAGAAAGAAACCUCGGGAUGAGAAAGAGCUCUUAGAAAUAAAACAUGAGGGGAAAGUGAGCAAUUCAAUAGGCUUUUAAGAUGAAGUCUUCCAGAAUGUAUAAUGACAGAACCAGAUAGCUGGAAAACAGAAUAGCAGUAACACAGGUGGGUGCUCUUAGGGCUAGCCUGGCACACAAGGCCUCCACAAUGGAGGGGGUGGAUGGGAGGUGGGGGGCUGGUCUGCCACCACCACCAGGGGAAGCCACAGGCACCACCCUCUGGGGACAGCUUCCCUUGGCAAUAAUGUGCACGCAGGAUGCAUGGUGCCCAGGACUGUUCUUACACACAUUCAUUCAUGGGAUCCUCACAACCCAGUGCUAUGCAAUGGAUACAGCUGUUACCCCAUUUUUACUGAUGGGCAACAUCACAAGGCAGGGAGCAGCAGUAGAAUGGCUCCAGAGCCUGUGUUCUUGCCACCACCAUGACUGCAUCUCAAAAGAGAAGUCCAGGUCAGGCACAGUGGCUCAUGCCUGCCUUCCCAGCACUUCAGGAGGCUGAGGCAGGAGUAUCACUUGGGCCCAGGGGUUCAAGACCAGCUUGGGCAAUAUAGUGAGGCCACGUCUCUACAAAAAGUAAUUUUAAAAAACCAGCUGGGCAUGGUGGCACACGCCUGUAGUCCUAGCUACUAGAGAGGCUAAGGUGGGAGGAUUGCUGGAGCCCAGAAGGUGGAGGUUGCAGUGCCCUGUGAUCACACCACUGCACUCCAGCCUGGGUGACAGAGCCAGACCCUGUCUCAAAAAAACAACAAAAACUCAACAGAAGUCCAACAUCUAAAUAAAUUGUCCAGAAAAUAAGGAAAUGAGAGAAAUCAGCAGAGAUAAAUCAAGAAAAUUUCCUAGAACCAAACAGUCAUGUUUUCUGAACAAUGGGUGAAAGGGAAGUUGUAUAUCAAGACACAUCAUUGAGAAUUACCCAAGUAAUGGGGCAAAGAAAAAGAAGAGAUCAUAGGUAAAGAGUCAGAAUUCAGGAAGGCACAAGAGUUCUUGGAACUAGAAGAAAAUGACACAAUACCCUUGAAAUCCUGGGAAUAAAUGAUUUUCAACCAA